UACGUAGGGGGCAAGCGUUGUCCGGAAUCAUUGGGCGUAAAGCGCGUGUAGGCGGCUCGGUAAGUCUGCUGUGAAAGUCCAGGGCUCAACCCUGGGAUGCCGGUGGAUACUGUCGAGCUCGAGUCCGGAAGAGGCGAGUGGAAUUCCUGGUGUAGCGGUGAAAUGCGCAGAUAUCAGGAGGAACACCAAUGGCGAAGGCAGCUCGCUGGGACGGUGCUGACGCUGAGACGCGAAAGCGUGGGGAGCAAACAGG
rnacentral:rRNA from 1 species